CCUACGUGAGGCAGCAGUGGGGAAUAUUGCGCAAUGGGCGAAAGCCUGACGCAGCGACGCCGCGUGAGGGAUGAAGGUCUUCGGAUCGUAAACCUCUGUCAGCAGGGAAGAACGGUCACUGUGCUAAUCAGCAGUGAAUUGACGGUACCUGCAAAGGAAGCACCGGCUAACUCCGUGCCAGCAGCCGCGGUAAUCCGGAGGGUGCGAGCGUUAAUCGGAAUUACUGGGCGUAAAGCGCUCGUAGGCGGUAUGUCAAGUCAAGGGUGAAAUCCCCGCGCUCAACGUGGGAACUGCCUUUGAAACUGGCAAACUGGAGUGUGUGAGAGGAUAGUGGAAUUGCAGGUGUAGGAGUGAAAUCCGUAGAUAUCUGGAGGAACAUCAGUGGCGAAGGCGACUAUCUGGCACAUAACUGACGCUGAGGAGCGAAAGCGUGGGUAGCAAACAGGAUUAGAUACCCGAGUAGUC
rnacentral:rRNA from 1 species